CACUCUGUCUCCCAUACUGGAAUGCCGUGGCACAAUCUCGGCUCACUGCAACCUCCGCCUCCUGGGUUCAAGCAAUUCUCCUGCCUCAGCCUCCCGAGUAGCCGGGAUUACAGACAUGGGCCACCACGCAUGGCUAAUUUUUGAAUUUUUAGUUGAGAUGGGGUUUCACCAUAUUGGCCAGGCUGGCCUAAAACUCCUGACCUCAAGUGAUCCACCUGCCUCAGCCUCGACAAGCCUUAUAUGAGUAGAGAAAGGGAAAAUUAGAUUAAUAAGCCCUCAGCCACUACUAAUAUUUUUUCCCCCAAUUUAGAUGAGGCAUAAAGAAACAUAUAAUA
rnacentral:lncRNA from 1 species